UGUAUAUUGGGCAGAAGGUCCCCAGUUUGUCUGGAUCAGAACGGGACCUACUGUGUUUUAACAGGGACAUUGUAAAGUCAACAUCUGGAGUCAAUAUCGGCCUAUUCACAACGGCUAUUUUCUGACCUUGUUCCUGUAAAGAAUGACAGCGGGGGAAAGAAAUGGCGGAGAAAUGGUUGUGGAUGUUAAUACCACGGAGGGGAUGCUGGAGCUCACGUGGGAAAGGUGCUGGACAAGGUAAAGCUGUCUUGCUGGGUGGUGGUGGUGUUGUUGUUGUUGAUGGUUGUGGUGGAGUAGUUGUUGAUGGUGGAGUUGUUGUUGGCGGAGUUGUUGUUGGUGGUGGAGUUGUUGUUGUUGGUGGUGUUGUUGUUGUUGUUGUUGGUGGAGUUGUUGUUGUUGGUGGUGGAGUUGUUGUUGGUGGUGGAGUUGUUGUUGUUGGUGUUGGUGGUGGAGUUGUUGUUGUUGGUGGAGUUGUUGUUGGUGGUGGAGUUGUUGUUGUUGAUGGUGGUGGUGGAGUUGUUGUUGUUGGUGGAGUUGUUGUUGGUGGUGGAGUUGUUGUUGGUGGUGGUGUUGUUGUUGUUGAUGGUGGUGGUGGAGUUGUUGUUGGUGGUGGAGUUGUUGUUGGUGGUGUUGGUGGUGGAGUUGUUGUUGUUGGUGGAGUUGUUGUUGUUGUUGGUGGUGGAGUUGUUGUUGUUGUUGGUGUUGUUGUUGUUGGUGGAGUUGUUUGUGGUGGUGGAGUUGGUGGUGGUGGUG
ensembl:lncRNA